GGGGAAUCUUGCACAAUGGGGGCAACCCUGAUGCAGCGACGCCGCGUGAGCGAUGAAGCCCUUCGGGGCGUAAAGCUCUUUCGACCGGAACGAUAAUGACGGUACCGGGAGAAGAAGCUGCGGCUAACUACGUGCCAGCAGCCGCGGUAAUACGUAGGCAGCAAGCGUUGUUCGGAGUUACUGGGCGUAAAGAGUGCGUAGGCGGUUUUCUAAGUUCGGUGUGAAAUCUCCCGGCUUAACUGGGAGGGUGCGCCGAAGACUGGGAAGCUGGAGUGUGGGAAAGGCAGGCGGAAUUCCUGGUGUAGCGGUGAAAUGCGUAGAUAUCAGGAGGAACACCGGCGGUGUAGACGGCUUGCUAAACCAUAACUGACGCUGAGGCACGAAAGCGUGGGUAGCAAACA
rnacentral:rRNA from 1 species